rnacentral:rRNA from 1 species
ACCAGCCAUGCCGCGUGCAGGAUGACGGUCCUAUGGAUUGUAAACUGCUUUUAUACGGGAAGAAACCCUGCUACGUGUAGCAGCUUGACGGUACCGUAAGAAUAAGGAUCGGCUAACUCCGUGCCAGCAGCCGCGGUAAUACGGAGGAUCCAAGCGUUAUCCGGAAUCAUUGGGUUUAAAGGGUCCGUAGGCGGUUUUAUAAGUCAGUGGUGAAAUCCGGCAGCUUAACUGUCGAACUGCCAUUGAUACUGUAGAACUUGAAUUACUGUGAAGUAACUAGAAUAUGUAGUGUAGCGGUGAAAUGCUUAGAUAUUACAUGGAAUACCAAUUGCGAAGGCAGGUUACUAACAGUAUAUUGACGCUGAUGGACGAAAGCGUGGGGAGCGAACAGGAUUAGAUACCCUGGUAGUCCACGCCGUAAACGAUGGAUACUAGCUGUUCGGAGCAAUCUGAGUGGCUAAGCGAAAGUGAUAAGUAUCCCACCUGGGGAGUACGCACGCAAGUGUGAAACUCAAAGGAAUUGACGGGGGCCCGCACAAGCGGAGGAGCAUGUGGUUUAAUUCGAUGAUACGCGAGGAACCUUACCAGGGCUUAAAUGGGAGACGACAGGACUGGAAACAGUUUUUUCUUCGGACGUCUUUCAAGGUGCUGCAUGGUUGUCGUCAGCUCGUGCCGUGAGGUGUCAGGUUAAGUCCUAUAACGAGCGCAACCCCUAUUGUUAGUUGCCAGCGGGUCAUGCCGGGAACUCUAACAAGACUGCCGGUGCAAACCGUGAGGAAGGUGGGGAUGACGUCAAAUCAUCACGGCCCUUACGUCCUGGGCUACACACGUGCUACAAUGGACGGUACAGAGA